GACGAACGCUGGCGGCGUGCUUAACACAUGCAAGUCGAACGGUGAAGCUCCAGCUUGCUGGAGUGGAUCAGUGGCGAACGGGUGAGUAACACGUGAGCAACCUGCUCCAGACUCUGGAAUAAGCGCUGGAAACGGCGUCUAAUACUGGAUACGAGAUCAAGCCGCAUGGUUAUGGUCUGGAAAGUUUUUCGGUUUGGGAUGGGCUCGCGGCCUAUCAGCUUGUUGGUGAGGUAAUGGCUCACCAAGGCGACGACGGGUAGCCGGCCUGAGAGGGCGACCGGCCACACUGGGACUGAGACACGGCCCAGACUCCUACGGGAGGCAGCAGUGGGGAAUAUUGCACAAUGGGCGAAAGCCUGAUGCAGCGACGCCGCGUGAGGGAUGACGGCCUUCGGGUUGUAAACCUCUUUCAGCAGGGAAGAAGCGAAAGUGACGGUACCUGCAGAAGAAGCACCGGCUAACUACGUG
rnacentral:rRNA from 1 species